ACACUGCUGACGAGUCCCAAACAAGAUGAAACAACUGUCCAGUGC
rnacentral:hammerhead_ribozyme from 1 species